AUAAACAAAGUAACUAUACACAGCGUGUCCGAUGGUGACAGGACAGUGUGGAGGUGGGGGGCUGCCAUCUCCUACAGAGUGGCCAAGAAGGCCCUCAAGGAGAUGAUGACAUUGAUUAAAGAUCGGAAGGGGGUCGGUGAGUCGUGACAGAUCCGAGGGAAGAAUUCACAGGGAUUCUUUGUCAUUCUCACACUCCGGGUUGGCUACACUGGGUUUGUAUUUUACUAACUCACACCAAGCGUAUUAGUUAUAGGUUGCUGUGUAACAACUCACCCCAAGAUGCAGCGACUUGAAACAACAUCUUUUUAUUGCCUCAUAGUUACUGUAGGGCGGGCACCAGCAUAUGGCUGGCUCGGGGUCCCUACAAGGCGGCACUGAAGAUGCUGGGCAGGGCUGCAGUCACCCCCUGGCUCAGCUGGAAGAGGACCCACUUCCAAGAUCACUCACGUGGUGUUGGCAGCUCUCAGGUCCUCCCUGGCUGUCAUCUGGGGAUUUCAGCUCCCUGCCACUUGGAGCUCACCGCAUAGCAAGCCAACAAGAGCGUGAACAAGACAGAAGUCACAGUCUUCUUAUACCCUAAUCUUAUAAGUAAGGAGGGCUUGGCAAAGUCAGGAAACUUACUGGAGAUCACACGGUAAAAGGAAGAGCUGAGAUCUAAACCCAGGGCUGUCUGCCUCCACAGCCCACUCUGUGACCACCGAGGUGAUUGCUCUCCUGGCGCCCAGGAUCUCCUCUGUAAUGGGAGAAUACCACCUUGGAUUCACAUGUCACCUGAGAUUAAGGACCAUGGCUGCGGAGCAUCUGUUGUUUGCAGCCCAGCAUUUAUAGCCCCUCCUCUGAGCGACAGUUUAUCAGAUUUCCUGGGGGAAACCUCCCUCCCUGUUUCAGCCAGGUGAUUUGUGUGGGACUGACCAGUGCCCAACUUCAGCUGUGGAGCCUAAACUAACCGGCACCCUCUCCCUCCAUUCUCCCAGUCACAGUGAUUGGCUCAGGGCUGACAUGUGACUUAGGCCGACUCAACCAGACUGAACCUUGGGGCUCUGGCUGGAAAUGAUGCAUCCUGGCCUUUCUACCCUAGUGGACCUGUAGCCUCCUGGGAUACUGGAAGCCACCCAGGACCAGUGGGGUGAGGUUUAUGGUGGGAGAGCCUGGCCAGCAAUGGAGCCAUUGAAGAAGAAAUGGGGAGAAAGUAACAGUCUCCUGGUCCCAAUUAUUUGAGCCCCUAGAUCAGCAUUGCCUGAAACCAGAGCUACCUGGAGACCCGUCAGUUAUGUGGACAAUAAAAAUCCACUUUAUAUUGAAGCCAGUUUGAAAGUUUGGUGUUGGUGGUGGUGUUAUUACUUGCAAC